rnacentral:rRNA from 1 species
UACGUAGGGUGCGAGCGUUAAUCGGAAUUACUGGGCGUAAAGGGUGCGCAGGCGGUUAUAUAAGACAGAUGUGAAAUCCCCGGGCUCAACCUGGGAACUGCGUUUGUGACUGUAUGACUAGAGUACGGUAGAGAGGGGUGGAAUUCCUGGUGUAGCAGUGAAAUGCGUAGAUAUUCGGAAGAACACCAGUGGCGAAGGCGACACACUGGGCCAUUACUGACGCUGAGGCGCGAAAGCGUGGGGAGCAAACAGGG